rnacentral:rRNA from 1 species
AUGAAGGGGCCGGCUGCGGCGGCGCCCGCACGCAAGAGGCGCGCAUCCGCUGGGCCCAGGUCGAGGCCACAGAAGCGGCCACGUGACGGCGGCCGCGACGGCGACCUCAUCAGCAACCUCCCCGACGCCGUCCUCGGCACCAUCAUCUCCCUCCUCCCCACCAAGGACGGCGCCCGCACGCAGGCCAUCGCCCGACGAUGGCGUCCCCUCUGGCGCUCCUCGCCUCUCAACCUCGACGCCUCCUACAACCUUCACCGCGACGAGUUCAAGCGCCUCUCCGUCGUCUCCAGGGUUCUGUCAAACCUCCCCGGCCCGGCGCGCUGCUUCGCUUUCCGCUUCAUCCGCCUCCACAAGGCCAAAAAGAGGUUUGCCGAGGAUGCCGCGCAGAUCAGUAGCUGGUUCCAUUCCCCGAGCCUCCGCAACCUCCAGGAGCUCGACAUCGGCUUCGAUCUACUUGAAUACGGUGGACAUGAGCAGACCGACAAGGAGAAGCGCUGCCCGUUGCCACCGUCCGUGUUCUGCUCAGCAUCAACCCUUGUCGUGGUCAGCAUUUCCUCCUGCGAUUUCCCAAGGGAGAUCAAUUUCCCCCUCCUCAAGCAGCUCAAACUAUGGCGUGUUUCCAUCUCCGACGAUGUCUUCUCGAACGUGCUCUCUGCCUGCCAUGUCUUGGAUAGCUUAGAUCUCUCGUAGAUUCGUGAGGUGUCUUGCCUCCGCAUUAGCUUGCCAACACUCAGGAUCAUCGUCAUCUGCUCUUUGUUUCAUGGCAAAGGAGAAUUGCUCAUUAAGGAGGCCCCUUGCCUUGAAAGGUUACUAUUAAGUUAUCCGGGCUUGGGCGGUGAGAUUAUUCGGGUUGUUAGGGCGCCUAAAUUGGAGGUGUUGGGCCUUUUGUGUCCCAGCAUUUCAGAAAUUGAGAUUGCUAAUACAGUCUUCCAGGGAUUGAUCCCAUCCAGCUCGGAAAACCCAAUAUGCAGUGUAAAGGUUUUGGCUCUCCAUUUCUCUAGCCCUGAUUUGGGUGCAGUUCUUGACAUCCUUAGAUGCUUCCCCUGCUUGGAAAAACUCCAUGUCAUUUGGGACGAUUCUACAAAGGCAGAGGUGAAAAAUAUGCGUCAGUAUGAGCCUCUAGAUCCAAUCAAUUGCCUUGAGAGCCAUCUGAAAGUACUGGUGCUAACAAAUUACAAAGGUGGUGAGGAAGAUGUUGGAUUUGCAAAGUUCUUCGUUUUGAAUGCGGAAGUGGUGAAGGAAAUCAACUUUGUAGUGUGUAAGAAGAUUGAUAUACACAAGAAAUGGAUGACUGACCAACUCAGGCUGCUAGAAGUGGAAAAUAGAGCUUCUCAAGAUGCCCGAUUGAAAUUUGGAAGAAGUUCUAGUUGGUAUUACUCUGUGGAUACCCAGGACUUGUCAAUUGCCGACCCUUUCAGCAACUGUUGUUUUGUAGAUGGGGUAGAUGCUCUUUCAGAAGCAUAUCCAUGA